AUUGAACGCUGGCGGCAUGCCUUACACAUGCAAGUCGAACGGCAGCACGGGAGCAAUCCUGGUGGCGAGUGGCGAACGGGUGAGUAAAGUAUCGGAACGUGCCCAGUCGUGGGGGAUAACGUAGCGAAAGUUACGCUAAUACCGCAUACGAUCUAUGGAUGAAAGCGGGGGAUCGCAAGACCUCGCGCGAUUGGAGCGGCCGAUAUCAGAUUAGGUAGUUGGUGGGGUAAAGGCUCACCAAGCCGGCGAUCUGUAGCUGGUCUGAGAGGACGACCAGCCACACUGGGACUGGUACACGGCCCAGACUCCUACGGGAGGCAGCAGUGGGGAAUUUUGGACAAUGGGCGAAAGCCUGAUCCAGCCAUGCCGCGUGCAGGAUGAAGGCCUUCGGGUUGUAAACUGCUUUUGUACGGAACGAAAAGGUUUGGCCUAAUAAGCUGAGCUCAUGACGGUACCGUAAGAAUAAGCACCGGCUAACUACGUGCCAGCCGCCACCGUAC
rnacentral:rRNA from 1 species